rnacentral:rRNA from 1 species
CCUACUGGUGGCAUCAUUGGGGCAUCUUGGUCAAUGGACGAGAGUCUGAACCAGCCACGUAGCGUGAAGUCUUCCUGCACUAUGGGUUGUCCCCUUCUUUUCUCCCUUCCUCCCCCGCGGCCCGUGUGCCUUUUUGCAUGUACUUUAUGAAUACGGAUCGGCUAACUACGUGCCAGCCGCCGCGGUCCUCCGGCGGCUCCGCGCGUUCUCCGGAUGUCUUGGGUGUAACGGGAGCGUCGCUGGUUGGUUAAGUCAGUUGUGAAAGGUUGCGGCUCAACCGUACAAUUGCAAUUGAUACUGUCAGUCUUGAGUACAGUUGAGGUAGGUGGAAUUCGUGGUGUAGCGGUGAAAUGCUUAGAUAUCACGAAGAACCCCGAUGGCGAAGGCAGCUUACUAAACUGUGACUGACAUUGAUGCUCGAAAGUGUGGGUAGCAAACAGGAUUAGAGACCCCGGUAGUC